UUGUUAAAAAGCAAUGACGUAACAAUCGUUAAUGAUGAACUAAUGCAUCUUUGAAGUGGCUUUUAUUGAUGUCAGGAAAAAAUGAGAAACCGGAUCUAUGUUAAAUAUUUAUUUUGUACGUCGCUGUAGAGGCGCAAUGGCCCAGUGGUUAGAGCAGCGGAUUCGCGGUCAUAGGGUCGCGGUUUCGACCCCUAGAUCUGACGUUGUGAGUGUUUAUUGAGCGAAAAUAGCCAAAGUUCCACGAGAUUCCGACAGGAGGUGGAGAAAUGACAAAUGCUGCCGACACCAGAAUCUCAUAAGAGAAAUAAAAACUAUCGAUAUUUGAAGAAGAAGAAGAAGAAAAAAUAUGAAUAAAUUUUGCUAAAAAUGGUCCACAUUAAAAAAUAUUUAAUA